rnacentral:rRNA from 1 species
AGUGAACGCUGGCGGCAGGCCUAACACAUGCAAGUCGAACGGCAGCACAGCAGUAGCAAUACUGUGGGUGGCGAGUGGCGGACGGGUGAGGAAUACAUCGGAAUCUGCCCAGUCGUGGGGGAUAACGUAUGGAAACGUACGCUAAUACCGCAUGCGCCCUACGGGGGAAAGCCGGGGACCGCAAGGCCUGGCGCGAUUGGAUGAGCCCAUGUUCGAUUAGCUAGUUGGCGGGGUAAAGGCCCACCAAGGCGACGAUCGAUAGCUGGUCUGAGAGGAUGAUCAGCCACACUGGAACUGAGACACGGUCCAGACUCCUACGGGAGGCAGCAGUAGGGAAUAUUGGACAAUGGGGGCAACCCUGAUCCAGCCAUGCCGCGUGAGUGAAGAAGGCCCUCGGGUUGUAAAGCUCUUUUGUCCGGAAAGAAAAGCAAUCGGUUAAUACCCGGUUGUUCUGACGGUACCGGAAGAAUAAGCACCGGCUAACUUCGUGCCAGCAG